CAAGGAAUAUUGGACAAUGGGCGAAAGCCUGAUCCAGCGACACCGCGUGGGGGAAGAAGGCCUUCGGGUUGUAAACCCCUUUUCCCGGGGAAGAAAACAAUGACGGUACCCGGGGAAUAAGCCUCGGCUAAAUACGUGCCAGCAGCCGCGGUAAUACGUAUGAGGCGAGCGUUAUCCGGAUUUACUGGGCGUAAAGCGGGCGUAGGCGGCCUGUCAAGUCGGAUGUGAAAUCUCCCGGCUCAACUGGGAGGGUGCGUUCGAUACUGAUGGGCUAGAGUGCAGUAGAGGAAAGCGGAAUUUCCGGUGUAGUGGUGAAAUGCGUAGAUAUCGGGAAGAACACUAGUGGCGAAGGCGGCUUUCUGGGCUGUAACUGACGCUGAGGUCCGAAGGCGUGGGGAGCGAACA
rnacentral:rRNA from 1 species